GAGACAGGUGCUGCAUGGCUGUCGUCAGCUCGUGUUGUGAAAUGUUGGGUUAAGUCCCGCAACGAGCGCAACCCUUAUCCUUUGUUGCCAGCGGUUCGGCCGGGAACUCAAAGGAAACUGCCGGUGAUAAACUGGAGGAAGGGGGGGAUGACGUCAAGUCAUCAUGGCCCUUACGAGCAGGGCUACACACGUGCUACAAUGGCGCAUACAAAGAGAAGCAACCUCGCGAGAGCAAGCGGACCUCAUAAAGUGCGUCGUAGUCCGGAUUGGAGUCUGCAACUCGACUCCAUGAAGUCGGAAUCGCUAGUAAUCGUGAAUCAGAAUGCCACGGUGAAUACGUUCCCGGGUCU
rnacentral:rRNA from 1 species